AAGAGAGUGAGAAGGAAGGGAAGCCGGAAGGGGCGCGAGUGAAGCAAAGCGAGGACAGACAGCUCCCAGAGGGCGAGGGGUGCAUGUGCGUCCGCUUCUCACCUCAGGUCUCCCUUCGGCCCCGCUGCCCUCCCUCGCGGCUGGGUGACAGCUGGGUCCGGUCCGUCGCGGGCUGCCUGGGGUGCGAGGAUCGCGCACCCCGUCUUCGCGCGCGGUGCCUGCCGCCCCGCCCCCUCGUCCCGCCCGUCCCGUCGCGUCCCGUCCCCUCGGGUGCUGCCAGCCGGGUGCUGAUGCGGGUCGGUGGCAGCGAGGACAUUUUCUGACUCCCUGGCCCCUGACACGGCUGCACUUUCCAUCCCGUCGCGGGGCCGGCCGCUACUCCGGCCCCAGGAUGCAGAAUGUGAUUAAUACUGUGAAGGGAAAGGCACUGGAAGUGGCUGAGUACCUGACCCCGGUCCUCAAGGAAUCAAAGUUUAAGGAAACGGGUGUAAUUACCCCAGAAGAGUUUGUGGCAGCUGGAGAUCACCUAGUCCACCACUGUCCAACAUGGCAAUGGGCUACGGGGGAAGAAUUGAAAGUGAAGGCAUACCUACCAACAGGCAAACAAUUUUUGGUAACCAAAAAUGUGCCGUGCUAUAAGCGGUGCAAACAGAUGGAAUAUUCAGAUGAAUUGGAAGCUAUCAUUGAAGAAGAUGAUGGUGAUGGCGGAUGGGUAGAUACAUAUCACAACACAGGUAUUACAGGAAUAACGGAAGCAGUUAAAGAGAUCACACUGGAAAAUAAGGACAAUAUAAGACUUCAAGAUUGCUCAGCACUAUGUGAAGAGGAAGAAGAUGAAGAUGAAGGAGAAGCUGCAGAUAUGGAAGAAUAUGAAGAGAGUGGAUUGUUGGAAACAGAUGAGGCUACCCUAGAUACAAGGAAAAUAGUAGAAGCCUGUAAAGCCAAAACUGAUGCUGGCGGUGAAGAUGCUAUUUUGCAAACCAGAACUUAUGACCUUUACAUCACUUAUGAUAAAUAUUACCAGACUCCACGAUUAUGGUUGUUUGGCUAUGAUGAGCAACGGCAGCCUUUAACAGUUGAGCACAUGUAUGAAGACAUCAGUCAGGAUCAUGUGAAGAAAACAGUGACCAUUGAAAAUCACCCUCAUCUGCCACCACCUCCCAUGUGUUCAGUUCACCCAUGCAGGUCUGUAUAUGUAGAGAUAAAUAUAUUUUUUGAUGUGAUUGUAUAUUUCAUGGAUUUAUUACUUGAGAAUCUUUAAACAUAGAACCCUAACAGAAAAAAAUUUUCUUACUAAAAAGUAAAAUUCUCUCUUGUCCUCCUUAGAAAUUUUCUUGUGCUUAAAUAUAUAAGAAAAAGGAAAAAAAAAACUUACCAAUUUGUUUUAAGUUUAAUAUGUUAAGAAUUUUUUUGUUCUCUGUGGGUGUUUAUAGAAUAGAUGGAUCUUUGUGA
rnacentral:sRNA from 1 species